AUUGAACGCUGGCGGCAGGCCUAACACAUGCAAGUCGAACGAGUGGCGGACGGGUGAGUAAUGUCUGGGAAACUGCCUGAUGGAGGGGGAUAACUACUGGAAACGGUAGCUAAUACCGCAUACCAUCGGAUGUGCCCAGAUGUGAUUAGCUAGUAGGUGGGGUAAAGGCUCACCUAGGCGACGAUCCCUAGCUGGUCUGAGAGGAUGACAAGGCACACUGGAACUGAGACACGGUCGAGACUCCUACGGGAGGCAGCAGGGGGGAAUAUUGCACAAUGGGCGCAAGCCUGAUGCAGCCGUGCCGCGUGUAGGAAGAAGGCCUUCGGGUUGUAAAGCACUUUCAGCGGGGAGGCGUUACCCGCAGAAGAAGCACCGGCUAACUCCGUGCCAGCAGCCGCGGUAAUUC
rnacentral:rRNA from 1 species